CUUCUUGUUACUGCGCGGACUGAGCUCUGAGGCCAGAGUGGCGGGGAGAUAGGAUGGGGCAGAGUCUAUGACGUGGAGCGAACGGCUAGCUCAUUGGCUGAAGCUGAUGGAACACUCCACAGGCCGAAUUCAAGGCCAGCCCAGUGUAUGUAACAAGUUCCAGGCCAACAAGUUACAUGAUUAGACCCUACCUAGUGAUUAUAAGAAUUCCAUAAUUCAGGGUAACAGUGUUGGUCUCAGCAUAAAGCUCUGUCUGGAAACCCUGCCUCAGACUCUAAAGUGCUGGGUGACAGGUUUGAGUCACCAUAACUGCUGAUGUGUCUCUAGUCACAGAAAUGAGAAGGAGGCCCCAUGCCAUAGCUAAUACUCACAGAGGAUAUCUGUAUGGCACCCCACUUUGGCCAACACAACCACUCCAACCCAGAAAUGCCACUUACAGGAAUUGAUCCCCACAAAUACUGAGUGGCUCUGACACAGGAGUUAUUUAUUGCAAUGUGGUAUGUAAUAUUAAAGUAGAAAUAUAUUCCAUCAAUAAAGAUCUUUCAGUUAA